rnacentral:lncRNA from 1 species
ACCGGCACCUAUUCACUUAAAACUGUUAUCCAUUCCCUCUCUCCCCCUUAUCCGUUCACUCUCCCUCUCUCUCUCUCGGCGCGGCGGCAGCGGCGCGUCCCCCUCGCAGCCUCCCCCCCUCUCCUCCUCCUCCUCCUCGUGGCGCCCUCCAAGUCGUCGUCGGCUGUGGCGGCGGCGGCGGCCAAGGUGCGGGAGGAGGGAGAGGUCUCCUCCUGCGCCGACGACGACGAUGUGAGGAGGGCUCCCGACGGCGACGACGACGACGACGGUGACGAGGUGAGGAGGGAGAGGUCUCAUCCGGCAGCAGCAGCAGUGAGGAGGGCUCGAUGGCGUCCAGCGGCGAGGAGGUGUGCAGCGGUGGCGGCGAGGAGGAGGCGAGCGGCGGCGGCAGAUCCAUCCCACGAGAGCGGGCGCGUGUUCGCCGCGGGCCUCAACGGCUUUGGGCAGCUCGGGAUAGGCUCCUCCGUGACUCAUCCGCUGCCUACUUUUGCACAGGAGGCAAAAGCUGGCUGGACAUAUAUCAGAAUUGCAAUUUUCACUCCUGUAAAGUUUCUUUUGUGUGCAAAUCAUUUUCCAGUGCAACUGCAGGUUCCAAUUUUUGUAGGUGUCAUGUAG